rnacentral:lncRNA from 1 species
CUUAUCUAUACUCCCAAUUCCAAUUCCUUGUAAACAUACUUUGUAAACUCCUGUGAGAUCCUGUCUCCUUUGCCAUGCUGCUGUAAGGUCCUAAAGUAGAUAAAACCUAAGUUGCAAUUCCGGUUUUCCUCAAAAUCUAAGACAUGUCACAAAAUAAUUUACUGCCUUUGUUGAUCUCGCUCCUGUAACAAGCUUCCUGCCUCACGUAUCUCCCGCCUUAAAGAGUUUAAAAGGCAAUCACCCAAAACCAACCGUGGCUACCCAUUCAAGACUGUUUCCACACUGUGGAAGCUUUGUACUUUCACUCUGCUCAAUAAAGCCUGCAGCUUUUUCUCACUCUCAGUCCAUGUCUCUUUCACUCACUGUGGUCAGCUUCCACACCAUUUCUUUGGUGUGGCUUGGCAAGAACCUCAGGUGUUACAUCUUGGCGAGCCAGACAGGAGACUCCAGAAAAGGAUCAAAGCCAUCAAGCUACAAAUGAUCUUACAAAUGGAACCUCAAAUGAGCUCAGCUCACGGCUUCUACCGAGGACCCCUGGAUCAACCCGCUGGUCCCUCAAUUACCCUAGAAAAUUCCCCUCUGGAGGACACCAAACUGCAGGGCCCCUUCUUCACCCCUAACCAGCAGGAAGUAGCCAGAACGACUGCCACACGGUUCCCAACAGCAGUUGGGGUGUCCUGUUUAGAGGCAGGACUGAGAGGAGGUGCCAGCUGGGCUUCCUGGGUCAAGUAGGGGCUCAGAAAGCUGUGAAACUCACUCAUUUCCUGCAUCAGGACUUACUUCAGUCCUGGAUGAAUAAUAUUGAAGAUAUACGCUUAAAAUAUUCCUAACACCAGGAUUCGUGCAUGUGUUUUCUUCCCCAAGAAAGCUAUAAACAGUGAAAAAUUUGCUGUAAGUUUCCCUGUAUCUUCUCUCCCUCUCUCCCUUCCCCCGCCCCUGAAACUAAAAUAAAGGAAUGUUAACUGCUCAUUUUUCUGUGACCAGUGGACCUUAUCUACACUCCCAAUUCAGAUUCCUUGUAAACAUACUUUGUAAAGUCCUGUAAGAUCCUGUCUCCUUUGCCAUGCUGCUGCAAGGUCCUAAAGUAGAUAAAACCUAAGUUGCAAUUCCGGUUUUCCUCAAAAUCUAAGACAUGUCACAAAAUAAUUUACUGCCUUUGUUUCCGGCUCCUGUAACAAGCUUCCCACCUCAUGUAUCUCCCGCUUUAAAGAGUUUAAAAGGCAAUCACCCAAAACCAACAGUGGCUACCCGUUCAGGACCCCUCCCAUGCUGUGGAAGCUUUGUACUUUCACUCUGCUUAAUAAAGCUUACAGUUUUUUCUCGCUC